rnacentral:rRNA from 1 species
CCCCUAGAGGAGCCUGUUCUAUAAUCGAUAAUCCACGAUCUACCUCACCAUCUCUUGCCAAUACCGGCUAUAUACCGCCGUCACCAGCCUACCCUAUGAAGGAUAUAAAAGUAAGCAAAAUAGCACAACAGCUAACAAGUCAGGUCAAGGUGUAGCUUACUGAGAUGGAAGAAAUGGGCUACAUUUUCUAAACUAGAAAUCAUUUCACGGAAAGAACUAUGAAACAAGUCCUAUAAGUAGGAUUUAGCAGUAAAUAGGGAUCAGAAUGCCCAAUUUAAGCCGGUCCUAAGGUACGC